rnacentral:rRNA from 1 species
ACGCCUUCAUGAAGCCGGAAUUGCUAGUAAUGGCAGGUCAGCAUACUGCCGUGAAUACGUUCCCGGGCCUUGUACACACCGCCCGUCACACCAUGAGAGUUGGGGAUACCCGAAGCCUGUGAGCUAACUUAACGGAGGCAGCAGUCGAAGGUAGAAUCAAUGAUUGGGGUGAAGUCGUAACAAGGUACC